rnacentral:lncRNA from 1 species
AAGCCAGUGGGAAUGGGCACCUGGCCAUAAGUCAGAGAAGGGGAAGGAGAGUUACUUUAUUCUCUUCUGGUGCCAGUAAGAACUUUAUCAAGGUACUAGUGCCAUCAGCUCCUGCCCAAGGGCACCCAGGGCCCCAGGUCAGCAUGACGGAUUUAAGACACAUUACGUUCUGGGAAGACGGCUAGGAAGGUAGGUCAGCCCCACAGGGGAGAGGACACUGCAUGUCCAGAUGGGGGCACGCAAAAUGAUACCUCCACCCUCUAAGCCCUGGAAUCUGUGAAUGUGACCUCACUUGAUAAAAGGGCCUUUGCACAUGUAAUUAAACUAAGGAUAUCAAAAUGAGAUUAUCCUAGGUUUCAGGCGGGUCCUACCUUCAACGACAAUCCAACCUCUUACAACAUAAAAACAGGGAGAUUGGAGACAGACAUGGGGAGAAGGCCAUGUGAAGACGGAGGCAGGAACUCCUGUGAUGCGGCCACAAGCCACAGAGGGCCUGGAGCCACCAGGAGCUGGAAGAGGCAGGAGGGAUCCUCCCCUAGCACCUGUGAAGGGAACAGGGUCCUGCCCACACCUUUAUUUUUGACUUUUGGCCUCCAGAAUUGUAACGAAUACAUUUCUGUUGUUUGAAGCCAUGCAGUGUGUAUAAAUUUGCUACUGCGGUCAGGCCGGGCGCGGUGGCUCACGCCUGUAAUCCCAGCACUUUGGGAGGCCGAGGCGGGAAGAUCACGAGGUCAGGAGAUCGAGACCAUCCUGGCUAACAUGGUGAAACCGCAUCUCUACCAAAAAUAAAAAAAAUUAAAAAAUAAAAUUUUUACUGCAGUCACAAAGAACUAGUACACUGCCCUUCUUGGUGGUGGGUCCCGGGCUCUCCGAGGUCCCCCAGGGUCAAGGUUGGCUUUCUGAUACCAGUCCUAGGCUGCUGGAGAAGAGCCCACUGAGAAAGAAUUUUCGCCUGAUUACCUGAGCUCAGGCCACCUAGGGAACAAAGAGAACUUUAUUAAGUUGUAGAGGCUGCACAGAAACUGGCAGGUGGGGUGCAGGCAAAGCUGGAGAGAACAGGAGCUUCCUCUCAGGGCCCAGCCCGGGUGGGGGUGGGGGAAGCUCUCCUGUCCCAUGGGGAUGACUUCACAGCCCUUGCAUGUGACCCUUGGGUCCAGUAUCGAUCCCCACCACUGCUUCCCUGGUGCGCACAGCCAGCCCGACCCCUGGAUCUGUUUCAGUUGAAAAUUUGACUUCUGAAGACUUUUCAAAGGCCGGGCGCAGUGGCUUAUGCCUGUAAUCCCAGCAGUUUGGGAGACGGGCGGAUCACCUGAGGUCUGGAGUUUGAGACCAGCCUGACCAAAAUGGAGAAACCCCGUCUCUACUAAAAAUAGAAAAUUAGCUGGGCGUGGUGGCGCAUGCCUGUAAACUCAGCUACUCAGGAGGCUGAGGCAGGAGAAUCGCUUGAACCCAGGAGGCGGAGGCUGUGGUGAGCCGAGAUUAUGCCAUUGCACUCCAGCCUGGGCAACAAGAACGAAACUCCGUCUCAAAAAAAAAAAAAAAAAAAAAAAGACUUUUGCGGCAGGAUCAGAAUUUUCAAGAGCCAUACACUGAGGAUGGCCUUAGCCAUGGCAUCCAGACCCUUUAUUUAUAAGAGAAAUGAAAUAUUUGGAUAUAGUUAAAGCACUUUAAACUUUUUUUUUUUUUUUUGAGACGGAGUUUAGCUCUUGUUGCCUAGGCUGGAGUGCAAUGGCACCAUCUCGGCUCACCCCAACCUCCGCCUCCCGGGUUCAAGCGAUUCUCCUGCCUCAGCCUCCCGAGUAGCUGGGAUUACAGGCAUGUGCCACCACGCCCGGCUAAUUUUGUAUUUUUAGUAGAGACAGGGUUUCUCCAUGUUGGUCAGGCUGGUCUCAAACUCCUGACCUCAGGUGAUCCGCCAGCCUCAGCCUCCCAAAGUGCUGGGAUUAUAGGCGGGAGCCACCGCGCCCGGCCCAGCACUUUAAACUUUUGUUUUCAUACCCUUGAUCCCCAUUUCCUUGGACACGUGCUGUGGGCCCCGCCCGCUGCCCUGAUCACUAGCCAGGUUAUCAGCCCAGGGGACGGGUUACAUUCUCAAAUAACCUAGCAAGAGGCCUGCUGGAGGGCAGCAGGGGAAAAUGGAAGACCCGAAUCUUUAGACAAGUCUAUUUUCAGACUCGCUCCUUUCUCUACCAAACCUGAGCUGCUUCCGAUUCUCCUUCUCUCUUCCCCAAACUGGGCUCUAACCCCCGUCCUCUGAAUCCAUGCCCGGGGAAGGUGGCUACGGGCACUGGCCCUGUCGGGGGCUGCCUACUCACCCGCCGCGGGAGGGGCCAGGUGGCUUUUUUGGGGACUGAGCCCCUCACUCUGGCGCCCAGGCUACAUUGCAGUGGCGCGGUCUUGGCUCAGUGAAGCCUCGACCUGCCGGACUAAAGCAGUUCUCCCGCCUCAGCCUCCCCAAGUAGCCGGGACUACAGGUGCACGCCACCACACCCGGCUAAUUAUUAUGGUCUUUAAAUUUAAAAAAAAAAUUUUUUUUAGACGGAGUCUCGCUCUAUCCCCCAGGCUGGAGUGCAUUGGCGCAGUCUCAGCUGCAACCUCCGCCUCCUGGUUCAAACGAGUCUCCUGCCUCAGCCUCCUGAGCAGAUGGGAUUACGGGCGCCCGCCACCAUGCCCGGCUAAUUUUUGUGUUUUUAGUAGAGAC